GACGAACGCUGGCGGCGUGCCUAAUACAUGCAAGUAGAACGCUGAAGAGAGGAGCUUGCUCUUCUUGGAUGAGUUGCGAACGGGUGAGUAACGCGUAGGUAACCUGCCUUGUAGCGGGGGAUAACUAUUGGAAACGAUAGCUAAUACCGCAUAACAAUGGAUGACACAUGUCAUUUAUUUGAAAGUGGCAAUUGCUCCACUACAAGAUGGACCUGCGUUGUAUUAGCUAGUAGGUGAGGUAAUGGCUCACCUAGGCGACGAUACAUAGCCGACCUGAGAGGGUGAUCGGCCACACUGGGACUGAGACACGGCCCAGACUCAUACGGGAGGCAGCAGUAGGGAAUCUUCGGCAAUGGGGGCAACCCUGACCGAGCAACGCCGCGUGAGUGAGGAAGGUUUCCGGAUCGUAAAGCUCUGUUGUAAGUCAAGAACGGGUGUGAGAGUGGAAAGUUCACACUGUGACGGUAGCUUACCAGAAAGGGACGGCUAACUACGUG
rnacentral:rRNA from 1 species